ACACACACAGUUCACACCAAGUAACAUAUAAAACCUAGCGCUUAAAAACGCUUUUUUAAAGGUCUCCUAUGACGUUUCGUUUUCGUAUUAUUUUCGCUUUCGUAUUACAUUGUUAGAAUUUGCAUGAUGGUAACUACCUACCAAAUAACGAACACACACACACACACACACACACUUGUUGUUCCCGCAAUGCAAUCAAAGGCUAACACUGUGUAUCCAGAGGAGGUUUGACAGGUGCAGUGCAGCUCAAGCAAUUAGUUUCGUAAAUAAGUGAUAGAGGCCAUAAGGAGGACAUACGUGUGUCGAGGCUGGAGGUGGCCCGUGUGCUGAGGGAGAGAAAUGAGUACAAAGAGAAGUACCUCUCACUAUUGGAGCAGAUUAGGUAAAGGGUCAUCGUGUAGUGUUUGUAAAGCGGUCAUAAUAAUCCAUAAUAACUUCGUAAUACAUGCUAACAAGUGUGUAUCUGUACAAUAGUGUGUAGCCUGGCAACUCUUGCAAGGAUUGCCACUGGCUUGAAGCUAAUCAUACAAUGUGUAGUUUGGUCCUCAGGAUGUGUAAAGUCAUAAUGCAUAAUAACUUUAAUUUUGCGUAAUACAUGCUAAUACUGUUUAUCUGUACUAUCAUUUGUAUUUCUCUGUUGCACAGGAUGAGUGCUGACUCGGCUCUGUUUAGAAAUCAAAGUGGCUCGACUAUUAUGCGGCCAUUUUUCAGCCCGGCCAAGUGUUGUGGAGACAAGAAGAGGCACUGAGAAUGGAGGUAGAGGUACAGAGUACAUCAGCUGGAAAAUGCAUUUGUGUCAUACUUUGUAGAGUCCCUUAAAGUCAUUCAAGGCCUACUUAUGCUGCUAAGAAAGAGAGGGGCCUCACGCAAACUGACCACUCAGUGUGACUAUGACCAUGUGACUCUUUAACCCCUCAGUUCCCGAGCCCCACCCCUCACUGUCUGACUCGGAAGAGGAGAUAGACUUUGUAUUCUGGGAGAAGGCGUCCACCCUACCCUCGGACAAGACCCCAACCAAGGACCUGAACUUGUUAUGAGACUGUUAAAUAUUAUUUUG